GAUGAACGCUGGCGGCGUGCUUAACACAUGCAAGUCGAGCGAGAAAAGUUCUUCGGAGCUUUUCUAGCGGCGGACGGGUGAGUAACACGUGGGCAACCUGCCUCAUAGAGGGAAUAGCCUUCCGAAAGGAAGAUUAAUACCGCAUAACAUUGUUGAAAGGCAUCUUUUAACAAUCAAAGGAGCAAUCCGCUAUGAGGUGGGCCCGCGGCGCAUUAGCUAGUUGGUGAGGUAACGGCUCACCAAGGCGACGAUGCGUAGCCGACCUGAGAGGGUGAUCGGCCACCUUGGAACUGAGACACGGUCCAGACUCCUACGGGAGGCAGCAGUGGGGAAUAUUGCACAAUGGGGGAAACCCUGAUGCAGCAACGCCGCGUGAGUGAUGAAGGUCUUCGGAUUGUAAAGCUCUGUCUUUAGGGGCGAUAAUGACGGUACCUAAGGAGGAAGCCACGGCUAACUACGUGCCAGCCGCCGCCGUAAAAC
rnacentral:rRNA from 1 species